GACGAACGCUGGCGGCGUGCCUAAUACAUGCAAGUCGAGCGCAGGAAACUGACGGAACUCUUCGGAGGGAAGGCAGUGGAAUGAGCGGCGGACGGGUGAGUAACACGUAAGGAACCUGCCUCAAGGAUUGGGAUAACUCCGAGAAAUCGGAGCUAAUACCGGAUAGUUCAUCGGACCGCAUGGUCCGUUGAUGAAAGGCGCUCCGGCGUCACCUUGAGAUGGCCUUGCGGUGCAUUAGCUAGUUGGUGGGGUAACGGCCCACCAAGGCGACGAUGCAUAGCCGACCUAAGAGGGUGAUUGGCCACACUGGGACUGAGACACGGCCCAGACUCCUACGGGAGGCAGCAGUAGGGAAUCUUCCACAAUGGACGAAAGUCUGAUGGAGCAACGCCGCGUGAGUGAUGAAGGUUUUCGGAUCGUAAAACUCUGUUGUAAGGGAAGAACACGUACGAGAGGAAAUGCUCGUACCUUGACGGUACCUUACGAGAAAGCCACGGCUAACUACGUGCCAGCCGCCGCGGUAA
rnacentral:rRNA from 1 species